rnacentral:rRNA from 1 species
AUGAACGCUGGCGGCGUGCCUAAUACAUGCAAGUCGAGCGAACAGACGAGGAGCUUGCUCCUCUGACGUUAGCGGCGGACGGGUGAGUAACACGUGGAUAACCUACCUAUAAGACUGGGAUAACUUCGGGAAACCGGAGCUAAUACCGGAUAAUAUAUUGAACCGCAUGGUUCAAUAGUGAAAGACGGUUUUGCUGUCACUUAUAGAUGGAUCCGCGCCGCAUUAGCUAGUUGGUAAGGUAACGGCUUACCAAGGCGACGAUGCGUAGCCGACCUGAGAGGGUGAUCGGCCACACUGGAACUGAGACACGGUCCAGACUCCUACGGGAGGCAGCAGUAGGGAAUCUUCCGCAAUGGGCGAAAGCCUGACGGAGCAACGCCGCGUGAGUGAUGAAGGUCUUCGGAUCGUAAAACUCUGUUAUUAGGGAAGAACAGAUGUGUAAGUAACUAUGCACGUCUUGACGGUACCUAAUCAGAAAGCCACGGCUAACUACGUG